rnacentral:rRNA from 1 species
GGCCUAACACAUGCAAGUCGAACGGUAACAGGAAUCAGCUUGCUGAUUCGCUGACGAGUGGCGGACGGGUGAGUAAUGUCUGGGAAACUGCCUGAUGGAGGGGGAUAACUACUGGAAACGGUAGCUAAUACCGCAUAACGUCGCAAGACCAAAGAGGGGGACCUUCGGGCCUCUUGCCAUCGGAUGUGCCCAGAUGGGAUUAGCUAGUAGGUGGGGUAAAGGCUCACCUAGGCGACGAUCCCUAGCUGGUCUGAGAGGAUGACCAGCCACACUGGAACUGAGACACGGUCCAGACUCCUACGGGAGGCAGCAGUGGGGAAUAUUGCACAAUGGGCGCAAGCCUGAUGCAGCCAUGCCGCGUGUAUGAAGAAGGCCUUCGGGUUGUAAAGUACUUUCAGCGGGGAGGAAGGGAGUAAAGUUAAUACCUUUGCUCAUUGACGUUACCCGCAGAAGAAGCACCGGCUAACUCCGUGCCAGCAGCCGCGGUAAUACGGAGGGUGCAAGCGUUAAUCGGAAUUACUGGGCGUAAAGCGCACGCAGGCGGUUUGUUAAGUCAGAUGUGAAAUCCCCGGGCUCAACCUGGGAACUGCAUCUGAUACUGGCAAGCUUGAGUCUCGUAGAGGGGGGUAGAAUUCCAGGUGUAGCGGUGAAAUGCGUAGAGAUCUGGAGGAAUACCGGUGGCGAAGGCGGCCCCCUGGACGAAGACUGACGCUCAGGUGCGAAAGCGUGGGGAGCAAACAGGAUUAGAUACCCUGGUAGUCCACGCCGUAAACGAUGUCGACUUGGAGGUUGUGCCCUUGAGGCGUGGCUUCCGGAGCUAACGCGUUAAGUCGACCGCCUGGGGAGUACGGCCGCAAGGUUAAAACUCAAAUGAAUUGACGGGGGCCCGCACAAGCGGUGGAGCAUGUGGUUUAAUUCGAUGCAACGCGAAGAACCUUACCUGGUCUUGACAUCCACGGAAGUUUUCAGAGAUGAGAAUGUGCCUUCGGGAACCGUGAGACAGGUGCUGCAUGGCUGUCGUCAGCUCGUGUUGUGAAAUGUUGGGUUAAGUCCCGCAACGAGCGCAACCCUUAUCCUUUGUUGCCAGCGGUCCGGCCGGGAACUC